rnacentral:rRNA from 1 species
GACGAGGGAUCCUGAGCGUUGCUCGGAAUCAUUGGGCGUAAAGCGGGUGUAGGUGGCUUGGUAAGUCGGGUGUGGAAAGCCCAGGGCUACAACCCUGGAAGGUGACCAUUCCGAUACUGCUGAGCUUGAGUGCGAGAGAGGGUUAAUAGAAUACCUGGUGUAGUGGUGAAAUACGUAGAUAUCAGGUGGAACACCGGAGCGAAGGCGGUUAACUGGCUCGACACUGACACUGAGACCCGAAAGUGCGGGAGUCAAACAGG